UAUAUAACUACAUGGAACUAUACAUAACUACAGUUAUCUAUACGACUAAAUUUGACUCAAAUCGCACUUGUCAACACGAGAACCGCUUGUUUUGAACAACGAACACAAUCCACUCCGCAAAAACUUACUACAUAGUAGUUCAAACACCAAGACCUGUGAAAACGAAAAAGAGUUAAACAAACAAUGAAUUUUGCUUCAAAUUUAAAUGUGCACACACGCACUAUUACCUACUGGUAUACAUAGAUACUCCCCAAUAACUCAUACAUGACUACAUAGUUUAUAUAUAACUAUACAUUACUACAUGUGACUACACCAUAUAUUACUGUAUGUUACUACACAUGACUAUAUAUGACUACAUGUAUAUGACCACAUGUGACUAUAUACAUGUAUGUGACUUUAUAUGUCCCUUCAAGUACCUGACUUUGUUCUCCAGGCGAUACGAGACAACUUAUAUUAUCAAAAUCAAAUUACAAACAGAGUAUGCUAGUCAUUAUUCUUCGUAUAACCAAAGGUCAAAGAUCAAAGCAAGUUGAAGUGGAACACCAUAGAUAAAAUAAUAGUUAAAACACACGUAAAGUAGUCACCUAUUUCAUUCUCGAUAAAUAAAAUAUCAAUAUCAUAUUACUAACAAAAUAUUCUCAUCACGAAUCUACAUAUACUCCCAAGUAUAAAAACAAAAGUAAACAAAUCAUUUCAGGACCAAUAAACAGUGAUUCAAUAUAUUAAGAAACAGAUUAAAAUUCAUUACCGUUUCUAUGCCUUCAAUGGAUGAACAGUCAGUUUUGUCGCACCACCACCAGGAACAAGUUUCGAGUUUUUUUUUAUUAUAUUUCUUGCCACAACAAUCGCGUUUUAUGUACAAGUCGACUCCUAAAAUUAAACUCACAGCUUCACAAAAAAAAAAAAAAAAAAAAAUUAAAACCAAAACUCAAAAAAUAACUGCAAAAUUCGAUGAUGGCUGUACAAAAAAUACUUUGGUGAACUCAAAAAAUACCUGC
rnacentral:lncRNA from 1 species